rnacentral:misc_RNA from 1 species
GUAGGUGAACCUGCGGAAGGAUCAUUCAUAAUAAGUGUUUUAUGGCACUUUUUUAAAUCCAUAUCCACCUUGUGUGCAAUGUCAGGGUUGAUUUUUCUCUCGCGAGGAUCAGCCCCAAACAUCAACUAUAUCUCAACUCUUUGUCUGAAAAAUAUUAUAAAUAAAACAAUUCAAAAUACAACUUUCAACAACGGAUCUCUUGGCUCUC